rnacentral:misc_RNA from 1 species
GUGGGGGAGGGGGCGAGGG